CGGAAAUGCGUUGUCGCUGAGAGCGCGUCACUUCCGGAGGGCCAAGUUAGUCCUGCAGGCGGGUGCUAGGGUCUCUUCCUGGGCGGGUAAAUGAAUAUGAGUAAAUAUUUGUGGAGCGUCUAGCGUUUGAAAGGUGCAGCGCUGCACAACGAGGACACAGAGAUGAAGUGUGUCUGGAACCCACAACUAGUUGGAAGAGAUGCACGGCAGGAUUGGGGGGAGGCGGUGGAAAACACUGGGAAGACUUCCUUGAGAAGGUACCUAGCACUGUGUGCUGAAUGCUUUACAAUCAUUGCUUCCUUCACCCAGUAUCCUGAGAGAUGAGGAAACCAAGGCUCAAAGGAAUUAACUUAAUCAAAGUCACGCAGAAGGUAGCAGAGCUGUUACUAACUUCUGUAUCACUUCUGACAUUUGGAUGCCAGCUUUGGUGCAGAAAGUAACGGUUAAGGAAUGAUCAGUGACCAUUUCUUCCUCCACAAAGAAGGCAUGCCUGAGCUUAUCCUGACGGAACACAACAGGGCUAUUGGCUACAUGACAUUACCUUGCU